rnacentral:rRNA from 1 species
UGUAGAGUUUGAUCCUGGCUCAGAUUGAACGCUGGCGGCAUGCCUUACACAUGCAAGUCGAACGGUAACAGGUUAAGCUGACGAGUGGCGAACGGGUGAGUAAUGUAUCGGAACGUGCCCAGUCGUGGGGGAUAACUGCUCGAAAGAGCAGCUAAUACCGCAUACGACCUGAGGGUGAAAGCGGGGGAUCGCAAGACCUCGCGCGAUUGGAGCGGCCGAUAUCAGAUUAGGUAGUUGGUGAGGUAAAGGCUCACCAAGCCGACGAUCUGUAGCUGG